UACGUAGGGUCCAAUCGUUAAUCGGAAUUACUGGGCGUAAAGCGUGCGCAGGCGGUUGUGCAAGACCGAUGUGAAAUCCCCGAGCUUAACUUGGGAAUUGCAUUGGUGACUGCACGGCUAGAGUGUGUCAGAGGGGGGUAGAAUUCCACGUGUAGCAGUGAAAUGCGUAGAGAUGUGGAGGAACACCGAUGGCGAAGGCAGCCCCCUAGGAUAACACUGACGCUCAUGCACGAAAGCGUGGGGAGCAAACAGG
rnacentral:rRNA from 1 species